GUACAAGUCAUCAUCCGGUCCUUACGGCCUUGGGCUACACACGUGCUACAAUGGUCGGUACAAAGGGUUGCCAAGCCGCGAGGUGGAGCUAAUCCCAUAAAACCGAUCGUAGUCCGGAUCGCAGUCUGCAACUCGACUGCGUGAAGUCGGAAUCGCUAGUAAUCGUGAAUCAGAAUGUCACGGUGAAUACGUUCCCGGGCCUU
rnacentral:rRNA from 1 species